UGCUUUCGCAAGCAGCGAUGAGUAUCAUUCCCGAGUCCCUACAUGGGCGCCACUGUAACAGAGCGCAGGAUUAAUUAAAUUUAAAUCACUGCCUCCGCUAGGGAUCGAACCCUGGACCUCUGGCUUAAUAGUGUUACGCUCAACCGAUCGAGCUAAAGAGAAGAUCUCUCUAGCCGAGCGGUAUAUUGCGGCUAGUAUUUACCAGGGUUACAAUUAUAUGCCAAGAAUGUGCAGACAAAGAAUUUGUGUUGGACUGAUUGUUUGACAGACACACUGCAUUCAAAUUGCAGUUAAUGGUAUUAAAUUAAUGAAUUCAGAAAUGUUACUAAACUUUAGUAAGCAAUAUGAGAAGUUCAAUGCAAGUGAACCCCAAGUAAGAUGAAUCCACGCCCCAUUGGUAAGAAGUUCCUGCGAGAAGAAGAGCAGUAGAUCAGGCCCAAGCAAUUCUUUUCCCUCUGAUGUAGGUCAGAGGUGAAAGUGUAUGUCAGAGUGACCUACUUUGGGUACAUGCCACACUGGUGAAACUAUGAAGUUCCAGUGACAAGAAGUGUAGGAGAUAGAGCAGGGACAAGAUAAAGUUUGGAAGGAUGGUCUGACACAACACAAACUGUAGCCCCCUCCCCUUACUUAAACUUAAUUUUUGUCCAUUUAAAUCAUGAGCAUGGUCAACAGAUGUUUUGUAUGCUGUUGGGGGUUGACCAAGCACAUUUAAACUCAAAUUAUGAUAAUAUUUACAUGUCGUAUACUCAUUCCAAGGUGGAAUGACGAUGUGGAAGUUGGACCCCUUGGCAAGAUUGUGGACCAGUAUCUCGACUCGAGUGCCGUUAAAGUACUGAGAACUGUAUAGCAAAUUAUUGUGUUGUUGUGAGUAUCGAAGAUUAAACAUAUAGUGUGCCUCACAAUACAGAAGUGUAAUCACAACCUAAAUUCAUUUUAGCAUCUUUUUAUGAAGAAAGUAUAAAUGCUGAGUAAAUAAUCUAUAAGUUUUCAUUAAGAUAUAAAUGUAAAGAUUUCAUGAUAUAUGAUAAGAAAUUGUAAUUACAGUUAUUUCAUGUAUGUUUGUUUUUUAUCAAUAAAUUAAUACACCGUGUAAAUUA